rnacentral:rRNA from 1 species
GGUUUGAAUCCUUGGUAGCGUAGCUAACGCGUGAAGUUGACCGCCUGGGGAGUACGGCCGCAAGGUUAAAACUCAAAGGAAUUGACGGGGACCCGCACAAGCGGUGGAUGAUGUGGAUUAAUUCGAUGCAACGCGAAAAACCUUACCUGMUCUUGACAUGUACGGAACUUGCCAGAGAUGGCUUGGUGCCCGAAAGGGAGCCGUAACACAGGUGCUGCAUGGKCUGUCGUCAGCUCGUGUCGUGAGAUGUUGGGUUAAGUCCCGCWWCGAGCGCAACCCUUGUCAUUAGUUGCCAUCAUUCAGUUG